rnacentral:rRNA from 1 species
GAGUUUGAUCAUGGCUCAGAUUGAACGCUGGCGGCAUGCCUUACACAUGCAAGUCGAACGGCAGCACGGGAGCUUGCUCCUGGUGGCGAGUGGCGAACGGGUGAGUAAUGCAUCGGAACGUAUCCUGGAGUGGGGGAUAACGUAGCGAAAGUUACGCUAAUACCGCAUAUUCUGUGAGCAGGAAAGCGGGGGACCUUCGGGCCUCGCGCUCUUGGAGCGGCCGAUGUCGGAUUAGCUAGUUGGUGAGGUAAAGGCUCACCAAGGCGACGAUCCGUAGCAGGUCUGAGAGGAUGAUCUGCCACACUGGAACUGAGACACGGUCCAGACUCCUACGGGAGGCAGCAGUGGGGAAUUUUGGACAAUGGGGACAACCCUGAUCCAGCCAUGCCGCGUGAGUGAAGAAGGCCUCGG